rnacentral:rRNA from 1 species
AAACUCAUGUUGUCUUUGCAGUCUCAGCUUUAUUAUUGAAUUGAUAAAACUUUCAACAACGGAUCUCUUGGCUCUGGCAUCGAUGAAGAACGCAGCGAAAUGCGAUAAGUAAUGUGAAUUGCAGAAUUUAGUGAAUCAUCGAAUCUUUGAACGCACAUUGCGCCCCUUGGUAUUCCGAGGGGCAUGCCUGUUCGAGCGUC